AUAACAUCAAAAACAGUAGAAAACUUAGCUUGGGAGAUGGUGGAACAUGAACGGGUCUGCCUCUCACUGCCGCAGCUGCAGAAUAUAUUGAUUUUCAGUAGAAGAAAAAGAAUUUAUCUAUAUGUGAUCCAUCACAAAACAAAGCAUACAUGCACACAUAUAUCACAGGUUUAGAACAUCACAGCUCACAAGCACAUCCUCUACGCUUUGGACCUUGGGAAUUGUUGCAGUCCCAACACUCUGUACGCGGCCAUAGUGAUGCCUCCGCUUCAUGUCACACAGGUGCGCGCACGGUGUUCGUCUUGCCGCCGCUGUUAUCGGUCAGGCAGAAUAGUGGCAGACUACAGAACAGCCUCCAACAUCGUUGUUUGCUGCUUUUGUGGUGACACCUCAUGUGGUCAUGCAAAACACAACUGUUUCCUUUUUUCUUCUUCUAAUAUACAUUGAACUGCUACUACCAAUAACAGAAAUUGUAGACUGGCAUUGUUUCUGGAAAGAUAACCACUGUUUAUCUAACUAGAGAACUACAGAUUUUAUAAAAGGUAAAGUACUAACCAGAUAGCUACAAAAUUUAGCAAUGGUGAACCAAAGAACUACAUAAUUUAGCAAAUGUGAACUCCUAACCAGAUAACAACAGUUUUUUCAGAAGUGGUUGGGAUCUUGUGUUGGCAGUGGGGAGCCGUGGCCGGAGCAUGGAGGAAGAUGAUCUAGAGCGUAAGCUCGAGCGCAAUUGAGUUGUGGACGGUGCCGAGCACGUCGGUGGACUGACGUCACAGGUGCUGGUGCUGGAACCGGUAGCUUCAUCUCGGCUUUACCCAUGGCGUCGCGCCGGAUGGCGAAUGGUGCCCGGCGACCGGGUCUUCUGCGAACGGAUGCGCGCGCAUUACCUGGACGGCCUGGACAAGGUAGAGGCGAGUCGGCGGCUGAGAGGUGGAGACGCACCGGCGGCUGAGAGGUGGAGACGCACCGGUAGCCGAGAGGNN
rnacentral:lncRNA from 1 species